GCGGCAGUAGCUCAUUGGGAGAGCCCCGCUUCGCAUGCGGGGAGACCUCGGUUCGAUUCCUGGCUGCUUCC
rnacentral:tRNA from 1 species